rnacentral:piRNA from 1 species
UACAACUAAUUCAAAGAUUGCCUACCAAUGU